GUUCAUUCCUGAACACAUGCGGAGCUUGAAACAAUAUAGGGAAGAUUAGCAGGCCUCUGCGCAAGGAUGACACGCAAGUUCGUGAAGCGUUCCGAAUUAUU
rnacentral:snRNA from 1 species